rnacentral:rRNA from 1 species
AUUAAUUCGAUGCAACGCGAAAAACCUUACCUACCCUUGACAUGCUAGGAACUUGCCAGAGAUGGCUUGGUGCCCGAAAGGGAACCUAGACACAGGUGCUGCAUGGCUGUCGUCAGCUCGUGCCGUGAGGUGUUAGGUUAAGUCCUGCAACGAGCGCAACCCUCGUCGCUAGUUAAAUUUUCUAGCGAUACUGCCCGUAAAACGAGGAGGAAGGUGGGAUGACGUCAAGUCAGCACUGGCCCUUACGCCUUGGGCUACACACACGCUACAAUGGGUGAUACAACGGGUUGCGAGAGAGCGAUCUGGAGCUAAUCCCUAAAAUCAUCCUCAGUUCGGAUUGCAGGCUGAAACUGCCUGCAUGAAGUUGGAGUUGCUAGUAACCGCAGGUCAGCACACUGCGGUGAAUACGUUCUCGGGCCUU